rnacentral:rRNA from 1 species
UACGUAGGGACCAAGCGUUGUUCGGAUUUACUGGGCGUAAAGGGCGCGUAGGCGGCAUGACAAGUCACUUGUGAAAUCUCCGGGCUUAACUCGGAAAGGUCAACUGAUACUGCAGGGCUAGAGUGCGGAAGGGGCAACUGGAAUUCUCGGUGUAGCGGUGAAAUGCGUAGAUAUCUGCAGGAACACCCGUGGCGAAAGCGGCGCGCUGGAUCACAACUGACGCUGAGGAACGAAAGCUAGGGGAGCAAACAGG